rnacentral:lncRNA from 1 species
UAAAUCAUGUAGUGUACUAUUUUUCUUACAGUUGUCAAUAAUACAUUUUAAAUUAGAUGAUAUUAUAAAAUAUUUUGGAUUUGUUAUUAUUUAUAUAAUAAAAUAAUUAUAAAAUAUUGUUGGUAUAUAAUAUUAUAGUUAGUUAUGUUGUAAUAAUUUGGGUUUUUUUAGCGGAUUAGGGUUUCCGCCAAUUCGAGAUUUUAG